CUUAUGUAGUUUUUGUAAGUUUAUACAUUUAAACUGAACUGCAUGCAUGCGCACAUACACACAGAGUCAGCCCAUAUUUUGAGAUCUGAACUAUGUUUUCUCUGCAGAUCUAUUUUUGUUACAAAAUGAGCCGGCACAACUCAAAAUAUAGGAAGCAGACACAGGAAGCAAACCUGCUGAGUACAAGCAUCUCUCUCAAGACCCCAGUUUCCAAAUGGAGAAGGAAACAAUUGUAAAGCAACAAAUCUUUAAGACUCAGAAAUAUCGUCUGCAUUUUUGGAACAUUCCCCAUUUGAUUUGAUGAGACUCUGUUGCUAUGUUUAUUUUGAUCUUGCUUUAAAGGACAUCAGAGUAUUUGCUGCUCCUAAGAAUUCUGAGUCACUGAUAUCUACUGUACAAGUGUGUAUACCAG